CAAGCCCCCUUUGAGUAAGAUAAACUCAAGACAAAGUAAUAACUGUCAUUGUGCUUAGAAGAACUGACGGGUGACUGCAGCAGUGCAAUGAACAAGACCAGAAGAGGCAAUCCCCCACCCACGGCAGCUUUGUAUCUUCCUGUACACUUACGAAGGUACUCCUGAUAAGACGCUGAGGGUGAUGCACCUCUUAGACCAGUCGGAGCCCCCACCCACCUGUUCCCUUACGCUGACGAAGAGAGAAAACAGACGAGAGGGGUUUUCUCUUUCACUCUCACUUCCUCUCUUCUGGUUGCCGUAGAUUGUUGUAAAGAUUGUGUGUAUGGAGAGAACUUGUGCACUACCACUGACGGGGCAGAAAGACUGAGGUAGCAUGAACAUGGACAUACUGACUAACCUAUGAUACAAUCUGAAAUUCCAAAAUGUGUAAGUUGUGAAGUGGAGUAGAUGACCAUCAUUAAAUAUUCAGUGAUAUUUCCAUAAAAGGUUUCCUAUGGCUAAAAUAUAACUGUGAUUAAAGAUUGUUGUUGUUGUUUAUUAUUAUUAUUAUUAUGACAACCAAUCUAUUGUAAUAAAAAUUGAGCUCAUCGACU